rnacentral:rRNA from 1 species
UACGUAGGUGGCAAGCGUUGUCCGGAUUUAUUGGGUUUAAAGGGUGCGUAGGCGGCCCUGUAAGUCAGUGCUGAAAUAUCCCAGCUUAACUGGGAGGGUGGCAUUGAUACUGCGGGGCUAGAGUACAGAUGAGGUAGGCGGAAUUGACGGUGUAGCGGUGAAAUGCUUAGAUAUGUCAUAGAACACCGACUGCGAAGGCAGCUCACUAAACUGUCACUGACGCUGAGGCACGAAAGCGUGGGGAGCAAACAGG